ACAUAACGAAUUGGUAUGGUAUAUUCAUACCAUAACAUAAGAACAAUAAGAACUCGAAUUCUUAUCGAUACUGGAACUCAGAGCAUACUUAAUAAUACGGCGAAACAUUUAUACAAAACACCUAUCCCGAGCACACGCAAGGGAACCGUAGAUAGGCAAGUGAAACCCAAUCCACGAAAUAAAUUGAUCCAUGGACGACACUGUUGUGGUAAAGGUCGUAAUGCCAGAGGAAUCAUUACCGCAAGGCAUAGAGGGGAGGUCAUAAGCGCAUAUACCGUAAAAUCAAUUUUCGACGGAAUCAAAAAGACAUAUCUGGUAGAAUCGUAACCAUAGAAUACGACCCUAAUCGAAAUGCAUACAUUUUUCUCAUACACUAUGGGGAUGGUGAGAAGAGAUAUAUUUUACAUCCCAGAGGGGCUAUAAUUGGAGAUACUAUUGUUUCUGGUACAAAAGUUCCUAUAUCAAUGGGAAAUGCCCUACCUUUGACCGAUAUGCCCUUAGGCACGGCCAUACAUAACAUAGAAAUCACACGUGGAAGGGGUGGGCAAUUACCUAGAGCAGCAGGUGCUGUAGCGAAACUGAUUGCAAAAGAGGGUAAAUUGGCCACUUUAAGAUUACCAUCUGGGGAGGUCCGUUUGGUAUCCCAAAACUGCUUAGCAACAGUCGGACAAGUGGGUAAUGUUGGGGUGAACCAAAAAAGUUUGGGUAGAGCCGGAGCUAAGUGUUGGCUAGGUAAACGCUCCGUAGUAAGAGGGGUAGUUAUGAACCCUGUGGACCACCCCCAUGGGGGCGGUGAAGGGAAAGCCCCCAUUGGUAGAAAAAAACCCACAACCCCUUGGGGUUAUCCUGCGCUUGGAAGAAGAACUAGGAAAAGGAAAAAAUAUAGUGAUAGUUUUAUUCUUCGCCGCCGUAAGUAAAUACGUAACUAGGAGUAUGGAAAAUUGCAUUUUUGGAAUUUGCAAUAAUGUGAUGGGCGAACGACGGGAAUUGAACCCACGCAUGGUGGAUUCACAAUCCACUGCCUUGAUCCACUUGGCUACAUCCGCCCCUUAUCCAGCUAAAGGAUUUUCUCCUUUUUCCAUUCAUCAUUAUUCUAUUUAUUCUGACCUCCAUACCUCGAUCAAGAUAGUGGACAUAGGAUGCCACUCUUUAAAAUGAAAAAAAAGGAGUAAUCAGCUGUGACACAAAAAAAUGAAUCCUUUUGUAGCUCGUCAUUUAUUGGCAAAAAUCGAAAAGGUUAAUAUGAAGGAGGAGAAAGAAAUAAUAGUAACGUAGUCCCGGGCAUCUAGCAUUCUACCCGCAAUGGUUGGCCAUACAAUCGCGAUUCAUAAUGGAAAGGAACAUAUACCUAUUUAUGUAACAAAUCCUAUGGUAGGUCGCAAAUUGGGGGAAUUCGUGCCUACUCGGCAUUUCACGAGUUAUGAAAGUGCAAGAAAGGAUACUAAAUCUCGUCGUUAAGUGAAUUCAGAAUAGAAAGAUUCAGAAUAAACAAAGAAAUACCCAAUAUCCUGUUGGAACAAGAUAUUGGGUAUUUUUGGCUUUCCUUCCUUCAAAAAUUCCUAUAUGUUAGUAGAAAAACCUUAUCCAUUAAGAAAUGGAACUUCAAGAGCAGCUAGGUCUAGAGGGAAGUUGUGAGCAUUACAUUCGUGCAUUACCUCCAUACCAAGAUUAGCAUGGUUGAUGAUAUCAGCCCAAGUAUUAAUAACGCAACCUUGGCUAUCAACUACAGAUUGGUUGAAAUUGAAACAAUUUAGGUUGAAUGCCAUAGUACUAAUACCUAAAGCAGUGAACCAGAUCCCUACUAUAGGCCAAGCAGCCAAGAAGAAGUGUAAAGAACGAGAGUUGUUGAAACUAGCAUAUUGGAAGAUUAAUCGACCAAAAUAACCGUGAGCAGCCACAAUGUUAUAAGUCUCUUCUUCUUGACCAAAUUUGUAACCCUCAUUAGCAGACUCGUUUUCAGUGGUUUCCCUGAUCAAACUACAGGUUACCAAGGAACCAUGCAUAGCACUGAAUAGGGAACCGCCGAAUACACCAGCUACACCUAACAUGUGAAAUGGAUGCAUAAGGAUGUUGUGGUCUGCCUAGAAUACAAUCAUAAAGUUGAAAGUACCAGAUAUUCCUAAAGGCAUACCAUCAGAGAAACUUCCUUGACCAAUAGGGUAAAUCAAGAAAACAGCAGUAGCAGCUGCAAUAGGAGCUGAAUAUGCAACAACAAUCCAAGGGCGCAUACCCAGACGGAAACUAAGUUCCCACUCACGACCCAUAUAACAAGCUACACCAAGUAAGAAGUGUAGAACAAUUAGCUCAUAAGGACCGCCAUUGUAUAACCAUUCAUCAACAGAUGCAGCUUCCCAAAUUGGGUAAAAAUGCAAUCCGAUCGCCGCAGAAGUAGGAAUAAUAGCACCAGAGAUAAUAUUGUUUCCAUAAAGUAAAGAACCAGAAACAGGCUCACGAAUACCAUCAAUAUCUACUGGAGGAGCAGCGAUGAAGGCGAUAAUAAAUACGGAAGUUGCGGUCAAUAAGGUAGGGAUCAUCAAAACACCGAACCAUCCAAUGUAAAGGCGGUUUUCGGUGCUAGUUAUCCAGUUGCAGAAGCGACCCCACAGGCUUGUACUUUCGCGUCUCUCUAAAAUUGCAGUCAUGGUAAGAUCUUGGUUUAUUCAAAUUGCAAGGACUCCCAAGCACACGUAUUAACUAAAAAGAAAA